CUCCGGGCCUUGUCCCCGUAGAGCCUCAGGGACUGCAAAAUGACCCUGUUACCUGGAGGCGGGACCUGGAUGGGGCUCCACCUCCCGUUGAGCUGCACUCUCACAUGCUAGACUAUACCAAGGUCUCCAGCCCACGUACCUGUGAACACCUCCAUUUCCCUAGCACAGCCGAGAUCCUGUCACCCACAGGGUUAGGACCUUCCCUAUGCUCUUCCCUAUGUGCCUCCUGCCACAGAUGUCCCUCCUCAGCUCCUUCAAGACACAUCCUGACCAUAGCUGGGGAGACUCCAGCUCAGCCUCCGGAGAGAUAGAAACCCUUCUACAUUGUUGGGAAGUCCUGCUGCUAAGGUUGAAUGAAGCCUGCCGUUACUGGACAGCCCUGAGCUCGGUGCGAAACGGCAGACUCCCUUCGUCAGCCAAACCCCCAUCUUCUCUGGGAGUUCCAGGAUCCCACGUUACCUACCUGAGGAAUGUCACUUAGUCCUGUGAUCCUGAAAUGCCACUCCAUGUUAAUGGGGCAUCUGAGUACCUUAGCUUUCAGCCAAUGAAAGCUUUCAACCUUUGCCCUGGAUAUUCUCACCCCU
rnacentral:lncRNA from 1 species